GUAGUCAUAUGCUUGUCUCAAAGAUUAAGCCAUGCAUGUCUAAGUAUAAGCAAUUUGUACGGUGAAACUGCGAAUGGCUCAUUAAAUCAGUUAUCGUUUAUUUGAUAGUACCUUACUACAUGGAUACCUGUGGUAAUUCUAGAGCUAAUACAUGCUUAAAACUCCGACUUCGGAAGGAGUGUAUUUAUUAGAUAAAAAACCAAUGCCCUUCGGGGCUCCUUGGUGAAUCAUAAUAACUUAACGAAUCGCAUGGCCUUGCGCCGGCGAUGGUCCAUUCAAAUUUCUGCCCUAUCAACUUUCGAUGGUAGGAUAGUGGCCUACCAUGGUGGCAACGGGUAACGGGGAAU
rnacentral:rRNA from 1 species